UACAUUUCCAAGUGUUCUUAUUUUCCAACUUGUUCCUUUUGUCUUUCAAGUUCAUCAAAGUCCUUUUUUUUUUAUAAGUUUUUAUUUCAUUAUCUAUCAUUGCUUGAAUUUUCUCUACUUUUGCCCGUGUCGUGUUUUCUUUGCAUCAACGGUAGGUCUAUUGACAAAGUCUAACAAAGGAAAGGAGAAGAAUUAAAAGGAUGAUAUCUCCACCAUCAAUGUAACAACUCGAUUUUUAGUGGUGUCGGAAACAAUGGUUCGAGACCACCAAAUCCAACAAAUCAAAAUCCCGUAGAUAUUCGUGAAAAAAGAAAAUUAGCGGAAUAAUCUCUGAACUCCUGCAAAUAUUACAAUUUAACCCAGGUAAGUUUGUAUGGUUAAACUUUAAUAUUUAUAUUAAAUUGAUGAUUGGUAAUAUAUAUGUUAUGUUGUUGGAAUUGAAUUGUCGUUGGAAAAAUAUUAUCGAAAUUAAUACUCAGUUUGGAUUGAACGCGAGAUUUGAGUACAUUUGUGAUUUGGCGAAUUGACAAAAUUGGAGGAAAAUGACAACAAAUUACCCAAGUAAAUCAAGGUUCAGUAUUUUUUUUCGAACUCUCAUGUUUUACUUUCCGUUUAGCUCUUACGAGCUUCUGUUUAACUCAUAUGAGUUUCCGUUUAGCUCUUUUGAGCUUCUGUUCAGCUCUUAUGAGCUUCCGUUUAACUCAUAUGAGUUUCCAUUCAGCUCUUACAAGCUUCUGUUCAACUCUUAUGGGUUUCUAUUUAGCUCUUACGAAAUUCUGUUCAGCCUUUGGGCUUCUGAAAAUGAUAUACUCUUAUCCGUAAGCCGUUCUCCGAUUUGGGAAGAUUUGGUAAGUGACUAUGUAAUUGAAAUUAAAAGACAUAUUGGUUGUUAUUGGUAUUGACUUAAAAUAAGUGCAUUCAUCGAUUGAAGUUGUGAUUGGCAGGGAGUUUACAUUAAAUGAAUUUAUUUAAUUAAUGUGUUAUAGUAGGUUCAGUAAGAUUUAUGUUUAACCCAUCGAACUUACUAAGCUUCAUUAAGCUUACUUGUGUGAUUUAAUGUCUUUGUAGAUUUUCGUGAGGUUAGAAGAUCGGAUCAGCACAUCAAGUUACACUAUCUAGUCUAUUCCGGUAGUUUUUGUACGUUCAAUACAGUUUAUAUGGCAUGUAUAGGGUUUGUGUGGAUUUAAUCAAAGUUUGUCUUGUGUAAAUAUUAAUAAUUAUAAUUUUGCUUAUAUAUGCACGUAGGGUUGGAAAUGAGACAUAUUUGUGAUGUUGAUGUGAAUACUAUAGGUUUAUUAUAUUCAAUUUGUGGUUAACUUUA